GGCUGGGCUGCACGGCCACAGACCGCGGCCCAACCUCGGCACCCCGGAAGGCGGCCUGAGGGUGGUAGGGCGGUGCCCCGGAGGAAGGCUGCAGAGGUUCCAGAUGGACUCCCGUGCAGUGCUGGCAGUUGGCGUGCUGUAGCGGCGGCGAUGUCCCGUUUCCCGCCACUUGACCGAUCACCUUCUCUCACAGGUUCUGAAGUUCUGUAAAAACUUUGAAGCCUGUUUCUACUAGCACUGAAAACUGAAGUUCAUCUGUGAAACAGAACCUUUGCAGAGAAGGAACUACAGCAGUUUUGGAGUACAGGAGACCACCUUCAUCUUUGUAGCAUGCUCAGCUCUGGCUCGCAGAUCUUUGCAUUCUGCGCUACUCAGAACAGCAUAAACGCUUUCAGUCUUCCCAAGGCUCUGAAAUUAUUCAGUCCAUAGAGACUUAUCACAUUGCCAAGCUCAUAUAAUCUCCUUACCGUGGUCAGUUUCACACAAGUAA
ensembl:lncRNA